rnacentral:rRNA from 1 species
GUGCCAGCAGCCGCGGUAAUACGGAGGGUGCGAGCGUUGUCCGGAAUCACUGGGCGUAAAGGGCGCGUAGGCGGCGCGGAAAGUCGUCGGUGAAAGCUCAGGGCUCAACUCUGAGUCUGCCGGUGAUACUCCCGCGCUCGAGCUCACUAGAGGCAGAUGGAAUUCCGGGUGUAGCGGUGGAAUGCGUAGAGAUCCGGAAGAACACCGGUGGCGAAGGCGGUCUGCUGGGGUGAGGCUGACGCUGAUGCGCGACAGCGUGGGGAGCAAACAGGAUUAGAUACCCCCGUAGUCC